CCCCGAUGGGUGAAAAAUAUCUGCCCCGCAUCCACACCCCUGUCUCCGUGCUCCUCCCUCUUCAGCCGUCGCCGGCGCCCUCCACCGAGCCGUCGCCGUGCCCUCUUCUCUCUCCCACCGUCCCUCACCACCAUCCCCCCUCUCCGAUCUGUGGUGUGGUGCGAGCACGACGGCUCGUGCGCUGCGAGUGGUGAGGUUUUCCUCGAGCUGCGGGCGAGCUCGGCGGCCGAGCCCGGGUGGCCAGAGGCGCGCUCGGGGAAGGGCGCGCUCUUGCCGGUCGGCUUCCAUGGAGGGAUCACGCCGCCGGUCGGCUUCCAGGGAGGGCGCCUCUGGUGGUGCACGGACCUGGACGCUAACGCAGUGCUAAACGCUCCCAGGCAGAGUGAACCUUCUCCUAUGAGAGAAAGGCUCGUGGUUUGAACCGGGAUUGGUCUUUGGGGUACAGAGGUGGUCGUUUGGCUUGAGUGGUGCAGCUUGGAGGAACGGAGGUGGAGAACGAUAUGGGCAAACAAUGCUGCAUCAGCAUUAAGAGUUUUGUUUUGUGUAGUACAGCUCAUCAACUGGCCAUGCGAGGCGCGACGACUGCGGCCGGCAGCACGAGGGUGUGGGGCUAAAAGGUUAGUACCACCGUUCGUCCCAUGUAGAUUGUUUAUUACUUUGUUUAUUCAGCAACUGAUAUGCACGUUCACAUGUUAGAACAUGGAUAGGCACUUCUGGAUUAUGCCGAAAGUAUUUAAUUUGAAGCAUAUGUUGCUUACGAUUUGAGAUGAGUCUGUGUGCAACAAUUAGAGCAGAGAAGGACCAAUGUUUUGUGCAUACGACCGUAGCUGCCAAAGUUACUUAUAUGCUUGCUUGACUUGGUGGAGUUUUAUGUGCCAUUUGGUGUUAGCUUCCCUAAUUCUCUUAUGGACUUUUCUUCAGCAGGCUGCUACAAAGGAGCAUGCUUGUAAGUUUUUUUUCUUCUUCGGCACAACUGAACCUUUUUAUUCUAAGCAUGUUUCACGUCCUGCUUACCAUUUUUGUUUGUAAAAUCUGAAACUAAUUUUUUCAGGUUGUGGGAACUGUUCAUAACUUAACUUAUGUUUGCGAUGGUAUGAGAUGGAGAGUAGGACCAUGAAUUCUUUCAAUUGUGGCAAUUCGCCUGCUUGCUAUGAAUAAACACUGAUCCCAGCCUAUGUUGUUGCCCCUCAUCUUCUCGUGAUUUUUCUCUGCAUGCUUAAUUAGUCAAGCUAUAAUUUUACUAGCAAGUAACAUAUUUCACUUGUACCCCAUUCAGAUGAAUCUUUUCUGCUUCAUUUCUUUUUCUAUUAGAUUUGUAUCUUCUCCUAUAACUGUGCCCACCAACAAAUAGAGAUUCUACUAUUUAAAAGGCUACCUAUUCUGUUGUUCCAUCUCUGUUAAUGGUCUGGGCAUACAUAUCACUGUUUAGGCUAUAGAAUUGUUGGAUCUCCUUGCCAGUAUGAUUUCUAGCUUGCGCGCAAUUUUUUAUUGACAAGGUCAAUAAAAUGCUUAGCAAUAGAAUGUAUUUUUUGUUGUUGUAUAAUUCCAUUAAAACUCUGGAUUUAUGGGAUUCUAUUUUAGCAUACAGUUUUCCUUUCUAAAUUGCUGUUUGAGAUGCUUCUGGUUUUCUGAAAGAGUGCGUAGGAAAUGUUGAUACUGUGGUUUUAUUUUUCAGAUGUGCACUUUGCUUGUUGUCCAUCUUUUAGUGUUCCUUUCCUUCUGUUAGUGAAGACCUUUCUAAUAGGAGUAAGAUGUGGUAUAUUUGAUUCAUGGGUUUUAUAUGGUAAAUGAGAUCUGUAAGAUGACGUACCAUUGCUGGUUGUCAGUACAAAUGUAGGUACUAAAAGGGAGUAUGGAGCUUCUGUAGAAAGAGUUGCUUGCCUAUUUAGAUUAAUUAGAUUCAGGCAAACUUAAAUUAAGGAGCUCACUGGUGGGUCAACAGGAAUAUGGAAGAAUCAAUCUAAAUGAAUUGAUCCUAGCCAUGAACAUUAUGUUCCCCGAGUUAGAGUUCGCUUCGUGCUCCGUGUGCCGCAAGUCCUCUAAGCACGAUGGGUGCCGAUUUCGGUGUUCGGGCAAAGACUGCGAUUCUUCUGA